rnacentral:rRNA from 1 species
CCUACGGGUGGCUGCAGUGAGGAAUAUUGGUCAAUGGACGCAAGCCUGAACCAGCCAAGUAGCGUGAAGGAUGACUGCCCUACGGGUUGUAAACUUCUUUUAUAAAAGGAUAAAAUGAGGCACGUGUGCCUUUUUGUAUGUACUUUAUGAAUAAGGAUCGGCUAACUCCGUGCCAGCAGCCGCGGUAAUACGGAGGAUCCGAGCGUUAUCCGGAUUUAUUGGGUUUAAAGGGAGCGUAGAUGGUUGGUUAAGUCAGUGGUGAAAGUUUGCGGCUCAACCGUAAAAUUGCAAUUGAUACUGGUAGCCUUGAGUAUAGUUGCGGUAGGCGGAAUGCGUGGUGUAGCGGUGAAAUGCUUAGAUAUCACGCAGAACUCCGAUUGCGAAGGCAGCCUACCAAACUGCAACUGACAUUGAUGCUCGAAAGCGUGGGGAUCAAACAGGAUUAGAUACCCUUGUAGUC